CCGGGGCGGCCCCCUCCACGCCGUGGCCCGGCGCCGCCGGCGAUCCCGGAGACGGCCCGGGAAGCGAGGCGGAACAGCUUCUUGAAGAUGGCGAUCUUGAUCUGGCCUCGCCUCGGGGGAAGCCUCUGGGUCCGCGCCCGCCGGCGCUCGGGGGCAUUGAAUUCCAUUUCUUGAAGCGGGGAGAGAGAGAGAGGUGCAGGCGGGGGUUGCGGGAGCUGCGGUUUCGCGGGGUUCUUCCGGGGUCCUGGAGGUGAGAGUGAAGUGGCGGGUCGUGCUGUGCUGUGUUUGAAACCCUCUUCGAGCGAAUGAAGGUUCAAAGGUUUGCUUCGCGAGGAAGCUUAGUGCUGU
rnacentral:lncRNA from 1 species